GGAACCACUGCCUCAGUCCUGGGCGUUGCCUCCCCUCCACUGGGUCUGCGCUCAACCCAGCCCAGCCCAGCUCCAGCCACUGCAGCCACUGCCAGCCCCUCACUGCCCGGCAGGUGGCUCCAGCAGAGGAGGGGACGGGGUGGGGAAAAGCGUUGGGAAGGAGGAGAGAGGCCAGGCAGGCAGGCAGGCCAGGCAACGUGAUCCAUGAAUAGAGGAAACCACCAAAGCCCUUUUGACUCAUGGAGUUGAGUUAUCUAUCCCUGUUCAAUUUCAGGCUUCCUCAUAUUGCCCUGUAGGAUACCCCCACUCAUCUGACUCAAUCAGCACACAAAGAGCAUGAUUCAGGCAGAGUUGUAAUUGUAAACAAGUCUCUCUCUCUCUCUCUCUCUCUCUCUCUCUCUCUCUCUCUCUCUGUGUGUGUGUGUGCGCAAUUGUAAACACUUAUAGCAAAACUGUGUUGUGCAAAACUGUGUUUAAGUUGUCCCUAAGCUCUUAGCAAAUCUUGACUGGCGUGCAGGUACUAAACUGACCAUGAGCUAAAAUCACUGUGAGGACUUUGCCUCAUCUACCUGGGAUUCUGACUCCCCAUAACCUCUUCCGUGUUCCUAUGGGGGUGUGCUCUAAACAUCAGGAAUGUGGUGACUUGGUCUACAGGGCUGCAAUCUGAUGCUUUAAAAUUGAAAUCUGGAUUCUGCAGUUGCAAUGCUUUUGUAAGAACCUAAGAGGAAUCCUGCUCAACAUUCUGUUCUCACAGUCGCCACCCAGAUGCUUAUGGGAAACCCACAAGCAAGGCAUGAGCGGCACUCUUCUUCUUAUGAAGCCCAGCAACUGCUUUCCAGAAGCAUGGGGCCUCUGAGACUGGCCAGAACAUAUAGCCACUAAUAGUGUUAUCCUCUAUGAAUCUAUCUAAUCCCCUUUGGAAGCUGUACAACUUGGCGUCCAUCACUACAGCUUGUGGCAGCAUGUUCUAUACUAUAGCUUAAUCAUGUCCUUCAUUCUGAUAUGCAGUUUUCAUCCAUUUGGCCAGGUUCACGAUUAUAUUCAUUUGGGCAGAUGCACUAUUUCCUACCGCAGCAACCUGUGACAAAAAGGAAAGCAAGACCUGUCAAGGCCUUGACACUGUUGUGUCACCUAAACUCACAAAGGUUCUCUCCAUAGGUGCAAGAACUGGAAAAUAUGGUUCAAAAGCAGUUCUGGGCAGUCCAACUUUGAGCCAUAAGAGCCAUUACUUCAACACAUUGCUGACUUUCUGAGAAGAGCAUGGGAGGGUUCCAGACAGAGCCAGCUCAAGCCAUUUUACAGCCUGAGGUAAAAGGCAAGAUGAAAUACAAGAUGGCUCCCUCCAUUCAACAUACAGAAGCCAACCAGACUGGCAAUUGAACCUUACUUCAACACUGAAGUGAGCAACAGUGUCCUCCACUGCAUCUGAUGGCAACAGGGCUAGCUUAGGGGUGCAGGUCAGGCCAUAUGGUGCACAUAGCUCUGCCCUCCAAGACUUUGCCACCACUCCUUGCUCUCUCCCCUGCCCCCUCCCAGCAUCUGCUGCCUGACUGGGCUGCCUCACUCUGCCUAAUGGUAGGGCCAGACCAGGUUCCAGAGGGAAAAGAUACCCACUUUCCUUAGAGUAGAUUCUCCAUUUCCAGUUAAGAGUUUCACUUUCUACCAUUUUGCUAAAUCCUCUGCAUCCUAGGUAGUACAGGGAGAAGGAAGGACAGCAUUUUUGUGUAAAAUUAAAACAUUGGCUUUGAUCUGGAAAACAUGCUUCCUCCUGGCAAAGGUUGUCUGAAAUCCUGUUUAUAGAACUGUUCUGCACAGCAUCUGUCACAUUUUUUCAAAACUACAAAAUCUGACAGGAAACGCACUUAAACACACACAAACAUAGGAGACAGAAAUGACUUGAAGCUAAUGUGACAGCAAGGAUUGGACAGGUUUUUAAUUGAUCUUGACAGCCCUGACAUCACUGCAUGCCUGAAAGUCUGUGUUACUAAUGGACUGAGUGGCAAGCAAAGUAGGUCAUGAACCCUGGGGCUCUCCACUUGCGAUAACAGAACACGCCCUUCCAUGGGUAGAAACGUAUAUGUGAGCGUGUUUGUGUUUCAAUAUGUACACAUAUUGCAAACAAAAAUAUAAAUUACGGAUUGGAUUCAGGCUAAGUUACUUUGAUUGUUAUUGAAAUCAACAGGACUUAAAAGUCCUGACUUACAGUACUUGUCUCCGUUAUUUCAAGGGGACCUAAGUUCAACUACCUCUGUCUGAUUCCAAACCCAUAUAUAUAUAUAUAUAUUAGUUAGUUUAAGAACAGAGUUAAGGCUAUCUCACAUUGGCUCAAGCAUCAGAAGGCCAGAAAGCUUGAAGCCAAGGCUGAUGGCUGAUGCCUUAACACAGUGGUGUCCAAAUUUUUUCCAAAGCGGGCCAGAUUUGAUGAAGUGAAGGGCCGUGAGGACCGACCAAAGUUGUUAACCUUUUUUGGGGGGAUUGAAGUUGUUGUUGUUUUUUAGGAUUUUACCCCAGGGUAAACUGCCACAGGGGCCAGAUUAAACCAACCGGCGGGCCGGAUUAGACCCCCAAAACGGACUUUGGACAUGCCUGCCUUAACAGCAGUGCCCCAUGGUCAGCAAUGCUGUUGUGAAGUGUCACAAAUUUCACUUGCUUACAACUUACCCAUACUUUUGCUGGGUCUUUCAGGUCCAAACCCAGAUGAGGAGGAUGGAGUGCUCGGGACCAGCAAAGAUUCCCCACACUGUCCUGGCCUUGUAUUGCCUUAUGAAGCACCUGAGCAUUACUUUAUUACUGGAGGAAUUAUCCAGUGGGUUGAACUAUGUCUGUUUAUUGCUUACCUUCUGGGGGGGGGGGGGACACCACACAAGCAAGUCAUAAGCUGCACAAUUGUGGUGUGAGAGUACAGUGGUACAGCUGCAUCUUCUCUGAAGGUAUCUGAAUAAUGAUACCCUUGGAUCAAUGGAUCCAUGAGUGAGUGAUUGGAUCUCAGGCAUCCAACCAAGCACAGCGUGGUCCACGCAGGUGCCUGCCCAAUGGCGGACCUUGGCGUCUGUCUCAAAUUUCAGUGGUGCCCUGUGCAAUGCCAAAAGCCAGCACCCCCCACCUAUUGCCUCCCAUAGGACAUCAUGGUUGUGGUGCCUGCAGUUGCACACCAGAAGCUCUGCACCCGGUGUGACCGAACCCGUCGUGCUCCCCUAAAUCCACCUUUGGAUAUUAGGUGUAGGGGCGCCAGUCAGCUGCUCACUCAACAGUUGGAACAAACAGCUCACAUUUCCAGGUCAGUUUAGCAAUCAGUCUCUCUUCCAAACUCUGGGGAUUGCAGCUCUGUGGGUGGAAAAGAGGUCUCCUGACAACUUUCAGCACCACAAGCUAUAGUUCCCAGGAUUCUCUGGGUGAAGCUCAAAGUGGGAUGAUACUGCUUUAAAUGUAUAGUGCAAAUGGGGCCCUGGACAGACCAUAGGCCCAUCUAAUUCAAUACUGUUGGCACAGACUGGGAGCAGUUUUCCAAGAAAGAGCCUUCCUAGCAGUAUGCGGAGAUGCUGGGAAUUAAAUGUGGCACCUUCUAUGUGCAAAGCAUGUGCUCUGCUGCUUGGGUAUGGACCUCCCCCUACAGCCCUUUCUGCUCUUGUUAACUGGGUAGUGAAGAAAGUUUCCCAGGUCACUCACUUAACAACAUCCUCCCUUACACGUCACUGAAGUAACAGAACUUAAUUCCAGGUACCUGGGCUAGGACAAGGUUGUGAACAGUUAGUACUGUUGGCUAUUACUACUGCACAAAAGAACAUGCUUUAUACUUCUUCCCAAUGCCCCCAAUGCUAAUACCCAAAUCUGCCAUUUCCACUGACUUCAGUUUUCUCCUUCUUCUUCUUCUUCUUCUUCUUCUUCACCAUCAUCAUCUCCAAAGCAGCAUUAACAGGGUUGGAGUGCACAAAGGAGCGGCCAGCCACUAAUGUUUUAUGAAACUCAUAAGCUUCUCUACCUAGGCUGAUUACUUGAGUUGCUUAUUAGUGUUGCACCUGCUAUAAAUGGUACUGAUGGCAAAUUAGAUGGAAAAACAUGCAAAUACCUUGCUAGCUUUCUGGUAAAUUAGCAUGCAAAUGGCAUAAAGGUGAAUAUAGCUUUGAGGAGAAAUGCACUAACAUCAUUUGACUAAUUACUGAAGCAGGGAAAUAAAAAAGAACAUAGAUUUUGGCGAGGGGAUUCCAGUAAACAUCAAUCUACCGAUGCAUCUCACUUUCAUCAGUUCAUCAGAUAAUGCAAAGCAAACAGCUUGUGAUUUGUUUUUUUGAAAAAUGCUGGCGGUGAUAGCCACCUGCAGCCUUUAGAGUCACUAAGGUUCCAGGAAACUUCAAUUAAUAGUUAUUUACUUGCGGGUCCAGUCAGUUUUAUUGCUUCCUGUUGAUGCUGGCUUGGGUAUUAAUGAUAAAUGGUUGUGGGACCUUUGCUGAGCAUCGAGGGAGGAUCCUGGCCAUAAGGAAGGACAUUACUGGAUAGCAAUAAAGUGCUCUGUGGAAUCUGGUUUAAUUCUGCCUCUAGCUCCUUGUGGAAAUACAAUGCCUCAGCAGCCCUAAAGGUCUCUUCUGUGGAAGUAACUCAGUCAACUCUUCUGCUGCUCCAGAACAGAAGCUACUCCCCUCUACACACCCUGACCCUAACCCCAUCUCCCUUCUGCCUAACAUUAAAAUUGAUCUGAGUGCUCCCUUUAAAAAAAACCAAAGAAACAGGUCUUCCUCUCAGGAACAUACUUCAAUCAAAAACAUAUUCUAGACUACCUUUAGAUUUUUGUCCACACAAAAUAUGCAUACAAUAUUUACAAAAAUCUAGAGCUGAAAAGAUUUAUCAGUCACAGAACAAGCAUGAAUCAGUCCUAGCAAGUGUUAUUUUCUUCUAGAAUAUUGUUGCUGCUUAUAACCUCAUUUUCAUUUAUGAAUUGCUCCCUAUGAAGAUUUUUGAAGCAAUGUUUAAAUAGGCUAUGACCUUGUUAUGGCUCUUGUGUGUUUAGCUUGCUUCACUACUGAACUAUGGCUCUUCUCUUGUACGUUAUACAGAACUAAGAAUUAUCCUUUUAAAACUCUUUUCCUUUCAAUAUCACCUUCAGGAGAAGGACUCCUUUAUAGUUUUAGUAUUGUCCCACUUACCUCCCCCUCCCCACCUUUAAUAUUUUUGAUCAGUAUGGCAGAAGAGGCAUAUUCCCCAUUGGUAAAGAACCACAUUAGUGUGUAGGAGAUAAUUCAAAUGUCUUGGAUAUAAAUUAUAUUCAGAAGUAUAAUGUGGAAUGGCUGCUCCUGGACUGAACCACUUCAGACUCUAGGUGGGGUAAAUUGCAGCUUGAAUGCUCCCACCACAUCAGGCAUUGCUUGUCUUUGGAAGCUACCAUUUGACGAUUUGCUUUGUAUUUAAAUAGUGUACUAUUGUUAUGCCUGGCUAGGUUUUUUAUUCAUUUCAUAACUGAGCAGACUGAACAACUGCACUUUGAAGUAAAUUCAGUGCAACCUGUGCCUAGGUAAAGCUGUACAGAAAUUUGGUGGUCAGAUGAUUCAAGGAACACAUUUAUGAUGACACUCUAUUCACCACAGCAAACAAUUCACUUGAAUUCCAUUCUGGUUAAUUUGCAUAUUUUAUCUGCUCCAUCUUGCCCUAAACUAUUGACACAUCCCCUUCCUCCAGUAUUUAGAUUUCCUUGACUCUGUGUCUAAUACUGCACAGGGCUUUUCACCCUUUAGAUCUUGCCAUUUUCUCAGGGUCAAUGCACUUAUCAUUUCAGGCUUGAUAAUUGUGAUUAUAUUCCCCACAGGAGGUAAAAACAGAGAGAUGCUUUGUCACACCAGCAACAUCUACAAGAAGAAAAGCCUGCAAACUGAAUCUAGACAAUAUUACCUAAAGGGCUUUGCAUGAUCCAUUUGCUUUUCACUGAUGAUUUUUAUAUCAUUCUCAUUUAAUAAAUAC
rnacentral:lncRNA from 1 species